UCGGCCAUAAACACCCAGUCAGCCGUUGGUCGA
rfam:Miniopterus schreibersii picornavirus 1, complete genome.